AAGAUCUUAACUCACAAUUGCCUAAAAUGGGCAGACGCGCUAAAAUUGUAAAACAAGUAUAGCUUGCAUAAUUGAGCUUACAAUGGGGUAAAGAAACAGUUCUUAUUUGACAAAAUAAAACAAUCAUUGUAGGCUUCGCACAAGUUAGCAGAGUAAAGAUACGGAUUGUCUAGUAUUUUCUGAAUGAAGACUGCAGAGCUGGAACAUAUUGGUCCCGAGACAAGGACUUAGAGAACUCUCUAUACCUACAUAUAGACUGUCUUAACUGCUACACUUAUGACUAGAAAAAAAAGGUCAGCUUCACUUGAUAGGAGAGGACUAACUCUUGAUAGGAGAGGACUAACUGAAAACCAAAGAAAUAAAUUUAUGUGCACACAAAAGUACCAAAGAAACCUCUAUAUCUCGAAUUGUGAUCCCCUUUCAUGCCCAUAGAAAGAGAAUACAAUUAAGGGUGUGCAUUACAAAUAAUACGAAAAAUAUGAUUGAAAAGAACAAAUCUGUGAUGUUGUGAGAAACAACGAAAUCUAGUAAUUGAUGUGGUUCUGUAGAUGGACUUGUCAAAAUAGCAUAGUUAAGUCAUAUGAAAGGAAACGGCUCAAUCAACAAAACUUCAUGGCAUGCCACAUUUGAUUCAAUCAUUUAGGCCUUGAAAUUGCGUUUUUCCUUCUUUUCCAGAGUCGAUCACUAGACCCAAUUCCAACAUCAUCAUCUAAACUUGUAUUCCCCUUUUGGGGGAAAUAAGGAGCAAAUAUAGUUGAAUUUGCUUAGGAUAUGUUUGGAAUUGAGGUGAUAUGACUUCAAUGCCGCAACUACUGUAAAAGCACUAAAUGUCAAAUAUAAGUGGAUGAAUGAGGGAUGAAUAUUCCCAAAUAAAAAGUAAGUGUUCACCAAACACUUCAGCUGCUGUGCUUUCAAACGUGAGAAGCAAUCUGCCCUAAACAUACCUUCAAUAGAUUUGACCAUAGUUUGUCUUUAAACCCUUUAAUUGACUCAUUCUACCUAUAGACACAAUACAACUGGCAAAGAUUUCAACUUUUGCAGAAUAUAUGCAAGAGUUCUGCAAUUAACAGUGGAACCACAAUCACAGUAGAAAUCUGACCUUACACUCAAAAAGAGCAUUUUAUUAACUAUUUUCUCCCUACGGACCAACAUUAUCAAUUGAUAAAAAGUAAAAAGACUUAGUUCAGAGCUUACCUGAGAACAUUUAGCAUUACUGAUAUGCCAAACUUUCCUCAAUUGAAGAGCCUGAUACCAGAAUUUCUGAACCGAAUCCCUCGAUACAUCUGGUUCACACGGAUCCAAAGCAAGUAAUUUUAACCACCCCAGCAUAUCUGAACCUGCA
rnacentral:lncRNA from 1 species